UAGUUCGCUGUAUCCAGACAGCAGUAUAUUGUUUUGUUUUUCUACAUUUUUGUUUCACUGAAAAGGAUCUGAUGUUAUUACCAUAUUUCCGACGGUCUGAAGGAAGAUGAAUCAAAGGCACCAUGGAGAUAGAUUUCAGAAAAUGUUUCAAUUUUUUUUACAUUACUGUUCAUCGGGAUUCGGUUGAUUAUGAUUCUCCACUCACUCCCAUUCAAGGUGGCCUCAUGCCCCCGCGGGGAUUGGGUCCGCGGAUUUUUCCC